rnacentral:rRNA from 1 species
CAGGCUGCAACUCGCCUGCAUGAAGUUGGAAUUGCUAGUAAUCGCGAAUCAGAAAUGUCGCGGUGAAUACGUUCCCGGGCCUUGUACACACCGCCCGUCACACCAUGAGAGCCGAUAACACCCGAAGCCUGUGAGCUAACCGUAAGGGGGCAGCAGUCGAAGGUGGGGUUGGUGAUUGGGGUGAAGUCGUAACAAGGUAAC